UGAACGCUAGCGACAGGCUUAACACAUGCAAGUCGAGGGGCAGCACAGGUAGCAAUACCGGGUGGCGACCGGCGCACGGGUGAGUAACGCGUAUGCAACUUGCCUAUCAGAGGGGGAUAACCCGGCGAAAGUCGGACUAAUACCGCAUGAAGCAGGGGCCCCGCAUGGGGAUAUUUGCUAAAGAUUCAUCGCUGAUAGAUAGGCAUGCGUUCCAUUAGGCAGUUGGCGGGGUAACGGCCCACCAAACCGACGAUGGAUAGGGGUUCUGAGAGGAAGGUCCCCCACAUUGGUACUGAGACACGGACCAAACUCCUACGGGAGGCAGCAGUGAGGAAUAUUGGUCAAUGGCCGAGAGGCUGAACCAGCCAAGUCGCGUGAGGGAUGAAGGUUCUAUGGAUCGUAAACCUCUUUUAUAAGGGAAUAAAGUGCGGGACGUGUCCCGUUUUGUAUGUACCUUAUGAAUAAGGAUCGGCUAACUCCGUGCCAGCAGCCGCGGUAAUACGGAGGAUCCGAGCGUUAUCCGGAUUUAUUGGGUUUAAAGGGUGCGUAGGCGGCCUUUUAAGUCAGCGGUGAAAGUCUGUGGCUCAACCAUAGAAUUGCCGUUGAAACUGGGGGGCUUGUGUAUGUUUGAGGCAGGCGGAAUGCGUGGUGUAGCGGUGAAAUGCAUAGACAUCACGCAGAACCCCGAUUGCGAAGGCAGCCUGCCAAGCCAUUACUGACGCUGAUGCACGAAAGCGUGGGGAUCAAACAGGAUUAGAUACCCUGGUAGUCCACGCAGUAAACGAUGAUCACUAGCUGUUUGCGAUACACUGUAAGCGGCACAGCGAAAGCGUUAAGUGAUCCACCUGGGGAGUACGCCGGCAACGGUGAAACUCAAAGGAAUUGACGGGGGCCCGCACAAGCGGAGGAACAUGUGGUUUAAUUCGAUGAUACGCGAGGAACCUUACCCGGGUUUGAACGCAUUCGGACCGAGGUGGAAACACCUUUUCUAGCAAUAGCCGUUUGCGAGGUGCUGCAUGGUUGUCGUCAGCUCGUGCCGUGAGGUGUCGGCUUAAGUGCCAUAACGAGCGCAACCCUUGCCACUAGUUACUAACAGGUAAAGCUGAGGACUCUGGUGGGACUGCCAGCGUAAGCUGCGAGGAAGGCGGGGAUGACGUCAAAUCAGCACGGCCCUUACAUCCGGGGCGACACACGUGUUACAAUGGCGUGGACAAAGGGAAGCCACCUGGCGACAGGGAGCGAAUCCCCAAACCACGUCUCAGUUCGGAUCGGAGUCUGCAACCCGACUCCGUGAAGCUGGAUUCGCUAGUAAUCGCGCAUCAGCCAUGGCGCGGUGAAUACGUUCCCGGGCCUUGUACACACCGCCCGUCAAGCCAUGGGAGCCGGGGGUACCUGAAGUCCGUAACCGCGAGGAUCGGCCUAGGGUAAAACUGGUGACUGGGGC
rnacentral:rRNA from 1 species